rnacentral:rRNA from 1 species
GGUGAACGCUGGCGGCGUGCCUAAUACAUGCAAGUCGAGCGAACAGACGAUGAGCUUGCUCCUCUGACGUUAGCGGCGGACGGGUGAGUAACACGUGGAUAACCUACCUAUAAGUCUGGGAUAACUUCGGGAAACCGGAGCUACUACCGGAUAAUAUAUUCAACCGCAUGGUUCAAUAGUUCAAGACGGUUUUGCUGUCACUUAUAGCUGGAUCCGCGGCGCAUUAGCUAGUUGGUAAGGUAACGGCUUACCAAGGCGACGAUGCGUAGCCGACCUGAGAGGGUGAUCGGCCACACUGGAACUGAGACACGGUCCAGACUCCUACGGGAGGCAGCAGUAGGGAAUCUUCCGCAAUGGGCGAAAGCCUGACGGAGCAACGCCGCGUGAGUGAUGAAGGUCUUCGGAUCGUAAAACUCUGUUAUUAGGGAAGAACAAAUGUGUAAGUAACUAUGCACGUCUUGACGGUACCUAAUCAGAAAGCCACGGCUAACUACGUG